UACGUAGGGUGCGAGCGUUAAUCGGAAUUACUGGGCGUAAAGGGUGCGCAGGCGGUUUUGUAAGCCAGAUGUGAAAUCCCCGGGCUUAACCUGGGAAUGGCAUUUGGGACUGCAAGGCUUGAGUGCGGCAGAGGAGACUGGAAUUCCUGGUGUAGCAGUGAAAUGCGUAGAUAUCAGGAGGAAUACCGAUGGCGAAGGCAGGUCUCUGGGCUGACACUGACGCUCAUGCACGAAAGCGCGGGGAGCAAACAGG
rnacentral:rRNA from 1 species